rnacentral:lncRNA from 1 species
UUUUUUUUUUUUUUUUUCUCUGUGUGUGUGUGUGUGUGUGUGUGUGUAUGUGGGGGCUUAAUAUGUGUAGGGUCCUUCUGAGAUGUUCAAGGAGCUUCCUGGUGAGCCCAUUCACACACAUAUAUAUCUGUGAUUCCGCCCGCACACGAAAGCCAGAACCAUCUUUAGACAUGCCAAUUGCAUCAUGCCAUUCCCCUAUUUAAAUCCUCCCAAUGAACUUAGAAUAAUCUAAACUCAUCACCAUGGGCUGGCCACUUGAGUCUGUGCUAAAUAUUCAAACUUCUCUCUGAGCUCAGAGUUCUGGCAACACUGACCUUCUCUGAGUUUCCCUCAACGCUCCCAGCUCUCACUUGCCUCAGGGCCUUUGCACUUGCUGUCCCCAUCUCAAAUCCCCUUUUCUCUCAUUUCAGGACUGGUUCCUCAGUCCUUCAUAUUUCAGAUGUCACGCCUCAAAGAGGUCUUCUUGGAGCACCCAAAGUAAAUGAACACUACUGCUACCUUCAUGGGAUCUGAAAUGAGCUUGUUUAUGAGGUUGUUUUCUUGUUUCUUGUCUUUCUCCUUGUAUAAGAUCUUCAAUGGGGAGGAACAUAUCAGUCUGUUGGCUGCUAUAUCCGUGGAGCCUAGCAUGGUGCCGAGACAUAAGGAAAUGCACAAGUAAAUAACGUACUAUCAGGUAGCUGUAAAUCUAAUAAAGGAAAUAAAACAGGGUGAUGGGAAAGAGACAUUUGAGAGGGCUGAAAGGCUCUAGAUCAGGGCUUGGCAAACUAUGGCCUGUGGGCCAAAUCUAGCCCAUCACCUGUUGCUAUGGGGCCCACAGACUGGUCCUCACAUUUUUAAAUGGUUGAAAGAGUCAAAUGAAGAAUGCUUCUUUAUGAUACAUGAAAACUAUAUGAAAUUUGAGUGUCAGAGUCUCUCAAUAAAGUUUUAUUAGAAUAUAGCCACACCCCUUUAUUUACACAUCUCCUAUUACUCUUCUGUGCUGCCAUGACAAAUUGAAUCGUUGUGACAGGGACUAGGUGGCCCUGACCCAGAAAAUAUUUACUAUCUCGCACUUUACAGAAAUGUUUGUUGACUCCUGAUUUAGAUAGAUUUUUCAGGGAAGAGCGCUUGAAGAAGAUACUGUUUAAGUUGAUAUUUAAAUAAUGGGAAUAGUUGAUAUAAAGAUCAGAAAGACCCUAUUUGAAGUCCCUCAGGUAGAAAAAACACUCAUGAAAUGGCAUCUCUUCUCAUUAUGCUGUGAGCUUCGAAUUAGGAAUUUUAAUCUGGCAGUCAUGGGCUGGGCAAACUGGCACAGGGUAGUAAGUAGAGUCCUGGCAAGAGAUAGGAUGCGCUUCAAUGAUCCUAAUCUGUGGGGGGAUGUGUGGGGGGAUGCUGUAGAAACAGAGGUGGAGCAGGUGAAAUGGUGGAAGUAUUAUGGAGGUCUAGUAAAAAAAAUUAGUAAUGAAAGGAACAGCAGUGGGAAAGAUGAGAGAAAGAGAAGCAUCCAUCAAUCCCGAGCUGAGGUACCAGGGGACUAACGGGACCACUCUCUGUCAUUCGGAAUCAGAAAAAUUAGUAGGUGUCAGGAGAGUGAGCGGAUGGCCUAGGUCAAGCUUGAAAAAGAUGAGUGGAAUUCAGGAUCAUCCUCGCCCCCACCCAAAAUCUCCACUGAUAUCACAACUCCUCUGGGCAUACCAAUCUCAGCCCAAGUUGUAACACGCUGAGCUCACCCAGUGCUUCCAGGAGUGUGCAGCUGACCCAGGCUGAAGAGACAGGCAUCCUGUUUUCCCAGCCUAAGGCAUUGCAUCAAGAGUACUGUGACCCUACAGACCAAAUCAGCUCAGUCUCCAUAGGUGGCACUCCUGGUGAACAGACACGCUACUGAAACCCCUAAGCUGGCGGGAUAUAACCCUGGUGCUGAUCCAGGCAAUCUUGCUUUUCCUCUGAAAAUGAAGACAAAAUAGGGGGGAAAUCUGAGUUGAAUGAUGGGGAAAGACCAAGUUCCAAUGACAUACGUCCUUUGAACUCAGGAUUCAUCUGUUCAUGAAACCAACUCUAUCCUUGGAUGAACUGGCAAAUUCUCUGGCUCACUAAAUUAAGUUUGAUUUGGUUUGGAGUCACUUAUAAAUAACAGAUUGUGAUAAACACAAUUUCGAGUUAGCAUGCUGAACAGUUUUAACUAUUGCUUCCAAAAUAAUUUUGCGUCCCAUCUUCUCAGAGUUACGGAAGAUAUUAAGCUAAGUCAAGAAGAGGACCUAUCCCCUUGCCUGACAAUCAAGGCUCUUGAGAUGGGAAACUUCUGAUACAACGGAGUUGUAGAAACAACUGAGUUGGUAUCGUGUAUCCCUUUAUUAAGUGAUCUCAGCAGAGUCCUAGAAAAUUCUGGAUCACCUCCUCCUUUCCUGGAUUUCAUUUCUCUCCUCUGGUUGCUUCUGUAGGUCCGUGUCUACUCUCUGUUUGCCCCCUCUAAGGGACAAUCUAGAUGGUCUCAUCUUCUUGGUCUGACUUGAUUUUCUACACUAACCUAGGACCUUCCUUAUAGUUCAUGCUGCUUCUUCACACAGGACAGAGUGUCAAAUAGGCUCAAAGACUGAAUUAAAGCUAAUAAAGCAAACUUUUUUUUUUAGAGCACUCACAACAUGUCAGGUACUGUGCUUAAAGAAGUGGGUCUCAAAAAUGCGGUCCUUGGACCAGCCUCCUGUUAUCAUCUGGGAAUUUGUUAGAAAUUCAAAUCAUCGGGCCCCACCCAAGAUCUACUGAAUCUGACACUCUGGAGAAUGGGUUCAGUCAUUUGGGUUUUAAGAAGUCUUCCAGAUGAUUCUCAAGUUUGAAAACCAUUGUCUUAGGGUUUUGUACCAGGAUUGUCUCCUGCAAUCCUGUCUAUCAAGCCCAGAGUCCCCAUUUUAUAGAUAAAGGAACUGCCACUUGGAGAGAUUAAGCACAUGCUCUUACUGCUAGGGAGCAGUGGCAUGCGGAUUCAUUCAAAGCCACAAACCUCUCCAGUGCUCUCCAGCCAGGGUGGACAUAGCACUUAGCACCUGUGUUCUCAAAUCCCAUGCCUGGCUCACAUUCCAGUUGUCUGGCAGAGAUGCUACCUGAGAUUCACAUGUCCUACUGCUGUUUUGCGCUUUCCUAGGGAACCUUAGGACCAUUUCUCAACCUCCAAGAAACUUUCCACUUAGACCAAAAAAAUGGCUCCAUGAAAAAGAAAAGGCAGCCAUAGAACAGAAUCCCAGCCUCAUUUUUUAAAAAAAGACUUUAUUUUAUUUAUUUGAGAGAGAGGGACAGUGAGCAUGUGUGGGGUGAAGGCAGAGGGAGAAGCAGACUCCCCGCCAAGCAGGGAGCCAGAUGUGGGCCUUGGUCCCGAUACUCCCAGGAUCACGACCUGAGUCGAAGGCACACACUUAACAAACUGAGCCACCCAGGUGCCCUAGAAUCCCAGUUUUAGACACACCUCAAAUCAGGUCCACUGGGGUCCUGAAGAUUGGCUCAGUGCACCAAGGAAUUUGUGAUCAUCAGCUUGCAACCUUGUCUCUUGAAAAUCCCCUUUCUGAGUCCCCUUUCUCAUACACUGUAUUUCUCCCCAGCUAAAACCGUGUGGUUACAGAUGCCACUUUGCUCACAGUGAUUUAUAAGCAAUCGCUAAUGUUCGGUUAUAAUUCCCCAUUUCAGAUGUGAAAAUGGCUCAUCAUA